GCCGGGGCGGCGCGUGAGACCCACCUGCUCCAGAGCCUCCGCCCGCAGCUGUCGGUGCCCCUGGCCUGCGCCCACCCCGCCCGCUCCUCGCGGCUCUUUGGAGACGGCGGCAUCGGUGCUCGCCCAGGGGAAUGAGGCACCAAAAUGAAUUAUAACUGGCAGGUCUGCCGUCGGGCCUUUGCAGAUGCUGUUCCCCUGCCUGGAGCGCACUCAUCACAAGAUGCCUCAGCAGCCCCCACACACCUGGGACGAGUAUGAAGUGCUUUGUUGACCCCAUGCUGUGUGCUCAGGGAGACAAGGCACCCUGUAUCGACCAGCAGCAGCUGGUGAAUGACUGCAGAAGGCACCCCCAGCCCACAUGCUGCUACUUCAGUGUGACUGCCACUCCUCUCACUGAGAGUUGGGGGGCGUAUUCCUUCCCCUUGAAUCUCGGUGGGGCUUGUGACUGCUCUAACAAAUAAAGAAUGGCAGAAGUGA